AUUGAACGCUGGCGGCAGGCCUAACACAUGCAAGUCGAGCGAGCGGCGGACGGGUGAGUAAUGCCUGGGAAUUGCCCAGUCGAGGGGGAUAACAGUUGGAAACGACUGCUAAUAGCGCAUACGAGUGGAGUGCCCAGGGGGGAUUGGCGGGUUGGUGGGGUAAGGGCUCACCGAGGCGACGAUCCCUAGCUGGUCUGAGAGGAUGAUCAGGCACACUGGAACUGAGACACGGUCCAGACUCCUACGGGAGGCAGCAGUGGGGAAUAUUGGACAAUGGGCGAAACCCUGAUGCAGCCAUGCCGCGUGUGUGAAGAAGGCCUUCGGAUUGUAAAGCACUUUCAGCGAGGAGGCGUUACUCGCAGAAUAAGCACCGGCUAACUCCGUGCCAGCAGCCGCGGUAAUAC
rnacentral:rRNA from 1 species